AACGAACGCUGGCGGCAUGCCUAACACAUGCAAGUCGAACGAGACCUUCGGGUCCAGUGGCCCACGGGUGCGUAACGCGUGGGAACCUGCCCUUAGGUUCAGCAUAACUCCCCGAAAGGGGUGCUAAUACCGGAUAAUGUCUGCGGACCAAAGAUUUAUCGCCUUUGGGUGUGCCCGCGUUGGAUUAGCUAGUUGGUAGGGUAAAAGCCUACCAAGGCGACGAUCCAUAGCUGGUCUGAGAGGAUGAUCAGCCACACUGGGACUGAGACACGGCCCAGAAUCCUACGGGAGGCAGCAGUGGGGAAUAUUGGACAAUGGGCGAAAGCAUGAUCCAGCAAUGCCGCGUGAGUGAUGAAGGCAUUAGGGUUGUAAAGCUCUUUUACCCGGGAUGAUAAUGACAGUACCGGGAGAAUAAGCUCCGGCUAACUCCGUG
rnacentral:rRNA from 1 species